GCAAACACACACGCCAGGCGCCAAGAAGCAAGCGCGGCAUGAAGGGCGACGCCAACGGAUGACGGCCGAUGUUUAUCGUUGGGCCCGCAAGGUCGCGACCUUCAGAGGGCCCCUUUGUAAUCUGCCCUCACGUGCAGUCGCACGUUAGAGCGCCGCCUAGUGGUGCGGGAUGCCCCCGACAACCUUCACUGCGUAUUUCGUGCGAUUUCGUCGCCUCGGCGUCCGGGCAAACGCAUCGAAAGCUCCCGCAAGUCCUAUGGAAGACGUCCGUCCCGGUCGCAUCCGCGCAGGACGCCGCCCGCCUGCCCUGGCCCCAACCCAAUAGAGGACCAGUGAGGAGAGCCGAAGCUCCAAACGACAUCCACCAAACUUAAAGUGGAGCACUUGGAUGCGCCUGAAUGAUCAACCUUCAGACAUUUUAGGUUGACUUUGCUGCGGAUGAUUAUGGGUGACGUCUGCGCUGACCAACAGACCAAACAAACACACCGCAAAGGUCGUGUGGAAAGUGCAA